UACGUAGGUGGCAAGCGUUGUUCGGAAUUACUGGGCGUAAAGCGCGCGUAGGCGGCUUUGCAAGUUAGAGGUGAAAGCCCGGAGCUCAACUCCGGAACUGCCUUUAAAACUGCAUCGCUUGAAUCCAGGAGAGGUGAGUGGAAUUCCGAGUGUAGAGGUGAAAUUCGUAGAUAUUCGGAAGAACACCAGUGGCGAAGGCGGCUCACUGGACUGGUAUUGACGCUGAGGUGCGAAAGCGUGGGGAGCAAACAGG
rnacentral:rRNA from 1 species